rnacentral:rRNA from 1 species
CCUACGGGAGGCAGCAGUGGGGAAUAUUGCGCAAUGGGCGAAAGCCUGACGCAGCGACGCCGCGUGAGGGAUGAAGGUCCUCUGAGUGGAAACCUCUGUUAGCAGGGAAGAAAGGUCCCUGUGCUAAUCAGCAGUGAAUUGACGGUACCUGCAAAGGCAGCACCGGCCAACUCCGUACCAGCAGCUGCGGCAAUACGGAGGGUGCGAGCGUUAAUCGGAUUUACUGGGCGUAAAGCGCUCGUAGGCGGUAUGUCAAGCCAAGGGUGAAAUCCCCGCGCUCAACGUGGGAACUGCCUUUGAAACUGGCAAGCUGGAGUGUGUGUGAGGAUAGUGGAAUUCCAGGUGUAGGGGUGAAAUCCGUAGAUAUCUGGAGGAACAUCAGUGGCGAAGGCGACUAUCUGGAACGUAACUGACGCUGAGGAGCGAAAGCGUGGGUAGCGAACAGGAUUAGAUACCCCAGUAGUC